AGGUGUUUAUUAAAUAGUACUGUGAGACUUUCCUCAUGGGGGCCUGGUGUGCAACAGCUGCAAGCAGCAGCCUACCUGGCAGUGUAUGCAGCCUGUUGCUUGUAUGCGUUGCUCUAAGAGACCGUGGAGACAGUU